rnacentral:rRNA from 1 species
GAUGAACGCUGGCGGCGUGCCUAAUACAUGCAAUUCGAGCGAACGGACGAGAAGCUUGCUUCUCUGAUGUUAGCGGCGGACGGGUGAGUAACACGUGGAUAACCUACCUAUAAGACUGGGAUAACUUCUGGAAACCGGAGCUAAUACCGGAUAAUAUUUUGAACCGCAUGGUUCAAAAGUGAAAGACGGUCUUGCUGUCACUUAUAGAUGUAUCCGCGCUGCAUUAGCUAGUUGGUAAGGUAACGGCUUACCAAGGCAACGAUGCAUAGCCGACCUGAGAGGGUGAUCGGCCACACUGGAACUGAGACACGGUCCAGACUCCUACGGGAGGCAGCAGUAGGGAAUCUUCCGCAAUGGGCGAAAGCCUGACGGAGCAACGCCGCGUGAGUGAUGAAGGUCUUCGGAUCGUAAAACUCUGUUAUUAGGGAAGAACAUAUGUGUAAGUAACUGUGCACAUCUUGACGGUACCUAAUCAGAAAGCCACGGCUAACUACGUG